ensembl:lncRNA
UUUUUGUUUUUGUUUUUUGCUUUCAGCAACAGACGCACUGUAUCUUGUGAAAAAAAUGUCAAGUAGCUGUAGUUUGACUUCUUAAAAAUGAUAUUUUUGGAAUUCCCGUUGUGGCUCAGUGGUAACGAACCCAACUAAUAUCCAUGAAGACACGGGUUUGAUCCCUGGCUUUGCUCGGUGGGUUAAGGAUCUGGUGCUGCCAUGAGCUGCAGUGUAGGUCGCAGUUGCAGCUCGGAUCUGGCGUUGCUGUGGCUGUGGUGUAGGCUGACAGCUGUAGCUCUGAUUUGACCACUAGCCUGGGAACUUCCAUAUGCUGCAGGUGCGGUCCCAAAAAGACAAAAAGAAAAAAGAUAUUUUUCACCUAAAAAUGAAGCACUUUAUUAAUGUCACCAGAUUUAUUUGUGAUUUCACUAGGUACUGAAUUUGCCAAAGUCAAGGCAACGCAAGACAAAAAAGUGUGGUUGAUCUAGAUCCAAAAAGCAAAACGAAACCGAGCGCAGGAGUAAUCAUACUAACUUUCAAGCAGUUUUAACUUCCGACAGCAAGGAGAAUAAGGCUGGAUAUAACCUCUGAGUUCUUUUAAAUAUCCUACAAAUCUCUCAAUUUAUUUAAUGAUAAAUGUAUAUUAGGCCAUGAGACGAGGAAAAAUUGUCCUUCUCACUUCUAAGUAACAGCUGGAAUUCAAAAGUUAUCUGAACUAACCACCAUUACCAAUAUUCAACAUCCAAUAAUAAAUCACAAGGCAUGCUUAGGAAGCAGCAAAAUGUUACCCAUAAUUAAGAGGAAAAUCAGUCAAUAGAAAGUUUAGAAUAGCACAGAUAAUGGAACUAGCAGCAAAGAUGUUAAAAUGGCUAUGAUAAAUAUGUUUAUUCAAAGAAAAACAUGAACAUUUAGAGAGAAAUUGAAAAUAUAUAAAAAAAGAACCAAACAGGAUUUCUAGAGAUGAAAAGUAUAAUAUUCGAAAAAAAAAUAAUUGGCUGUAUGGGACUAAUGCAUAUUAGACACUGCUAAAGAAAGUAUUAAAAUUAAAGCCAGAAUGAUAGAAAUUACCUAAAGUGAGACAGCGAGAGAAAAAAGACUGAAAAAAGUUGACAAAUUCUUGAUAAUCUGUGUGACAAAAUCAAACAGUCCAACAUAUAUAUAUAUAAUUUGAGUCCCAGAAGAAGGAGAAGAGGACAAGAAAAUUGAAAUAAUGCCUGAAAAUCUUUUAAAUUCAAUAAAACCUAUAAGCCCACAAGUCCAAAAAUGUCAACAAAACCCAAGAAGGUUAACACAUGCCAAAGCAAAAGCAAGACAAAACAAUACACACCAAGACACACUGUAAUUAAGUUGCUAAUAAAACAGUGAUAAAGAGAAACAUUUUAAUAGUAGCUGUAGGGGAAAAAAAUGACUUAGCUGAAUAAAGUUAAGAAUUUACACAGACUUCGUGUCAGAAAUGUACAAGACAGAAGACAACAGGAUGGCAUCUUUGAAAUAUGAAAGGAAAAAGUAAACUGUCAAUCCAGAAUUCUAUAACCAAUGAAAAUAUUAUUCAAAAAUAGUUGAAACAGAUGAACAGAGGCUUAGAUAAUUUACUGCUAGCAGAUGUUCCCUACAAAGAAAUGUUAAAGAAAUCCUUCUGCAGGAAGAAAAAUACUACCAGAUAGAAACCUAGAGCUAAACAAAGGAAGGAAGGGCAGCACCAAAAUGGAAAUAUUAGGUAAGUACUUAUUUUAUCUCAUGCUCUGAUUUCUUAAAAAGAUAAUCAUAAAUCUAAUAAAGCACUGCAGGGCUUGUUACACAUAUAAUAUAAAAUGAUGUUACCUUACACAAAGGACAGGAAAGGUGAAUGGAAGUAUACCCUCCUAAGACUCCUACAUUAUAUGUGAAGUGGCAUAUUAUUAUUUGAAGUUAAACUGCGAUAAAUUCAAAUUCAGGGUUUCUUAAUUUCAGCACCACUGGCUUUUGGGACUGGAUAAUUCUUUCUUGUUGGGGGAGGGGGCAUUACCCUGUGCGUGACAAGAGGUUUAGCAGCAGCCCUGGUCUCUACCUAUUAGAUGCCAAGAGUAGCCCUACCCGCACCCCAGUUGUGACACCAAAAAUGUCUUGGACAUUAUCCAAAUAUUCCUUGAGGGGCAAAAUCACUCCUUGUUGAGAAACACUGCCUUAAAACCACCAUAAAAAGGGGGGAAAUUUUGCAUAUGUGAAGGCAGUGGUAGAGAUCAAAUGGAUACUAAAAAGAAGGCAGGAAAAGAGGAUAAAAGCAACAAGGAACAGCUGACAAACAGAGCACAAUAAGAUAGAUUUAAAACCUAACCAUAUUGACAAGUGCAUUAAAUGCAAGUGAUUAAACACUCCAAUUGACAGGCAGAGAUAAUCUGACUAGAUUUAAAAAGCGAUAGCUAAUGAUAUGCUGGCUACAAGAAAUGUCCCUUUAAAGACACAGAUCAAUUAAUAGUAAAAGGAUAGAAGUUCCCUGAUGGCCUAGUGCAUUAAGGAUCUGGCAUUGUCAUUGCUGUGGCUCUGGUCACUGGUGUGGCAUGGAUUCAAUCUCUGGGCCAGGAAUUUCUACAUGCCACAGGUGCAGCCAAAAAAAAAGUAAAAGUUCCCAUCAUGGCUCAGCAGAAAUGAUCUGACUAGUAUCCAUGAGGACAAAGGUUCUAUCCCUGGCCUCGCUUAGCAGGUUAAGGAUCCGGCAUUGCCGUGAGCCGUGGUGUAGGUCACAGAUGCAGCCCAGAUCUGGAGUUGCUGUGGCUGUGGCAUAGGCUGACAGUGUGGCUCUGAUUUAACCCCUAGCCUGGGAACAUUCAUAGGCUGUGGGUGCGGCCCUAAAAAGACAAAAAAAAAAAAGUAAAAGUUAAAGGAUAGAGUAAGAUAUAUUAGGUAAGCAUUCCUCCUAAUGAAUCUUGAGCACCUACUAGCAAUAUAUAUUUACUAUACGAUCCAGUCAUUCUACUCACAGGUGGAAAAACAUAUGCCCACACAAAGAUGUGUAUAUGAGGUCACACCGGCUUUAUUCAGAAUAGCCAAAAAGUGAAAAAUACACAAAUGUCCACCGAAAGGUGAAUGUAUAUAUGUAUGUGUGACUGGGUCACCUUGCUGUACGGUAGAAAAUUCACAGAACACUGUAAACCAACUAUAAUGGAAAAAAUAAAAAUCAUUUAAAAAAUAAAUAAAUUUUUAAAAAAGGUGAAUGGUAAAACAAAUUGAGGUAUAUCCAAUGUGUUGAUGAAAAUUAACUAUCCAGUUAAGAAGGAAAAAAGGGAAUUUUAUUCGAGCCAAACGAGGAUUAUAACCUGGGAAGCAGACUCUCAGAAAGCUCUGAGAACAGUUCGGCCUGUUAGAAGUCAAAGGCAUAGUCGCAUACAUCUUUGAGACAAAGGAUCUUAUAUCAAAAUGACAUACUGAUAUUUUACAUAAAGUUCGCCAAGGAUACACAGUCUAGUAGGCACCUACAAAGUGAGCAUUAAGUCACCAUGACCCCUUAAAGAGCUGGGAAAGAACACUAUUCUUUUAAGAAGUUACACUGCUAGGGUUAGAAGAAAGGAAAAACAAAAACGGAUCUUUAUGGUUGAGCAGGCACUCCCAUCUUUGAGGGGCUCUGGUUACUGUGUAAUGCAGGUGCACACUACAUGUUAGGGAGGGAGAGAGGAGGCCCAAACAACACAGAAUUUUAUGGUUUAAUCUUUUUCUUGUCCUCCUUAAAAUAUAAAUUUUAUUUCAUCACAUGCAAUGGAAUACUAAAAGAACGACUGAUAUACACAAUAUGGAUGACUUGUAAAAUAAUUUUCAUGAAUAAAACAAACCAGACACAGACUAUUAAUAUGGACUCAAUUUAUAUGAAACUCUAGAAAAGACUAAUCAUAUAAUGACAGUUAAGAGAUCAAUAGUUUCCUGGGGCCAUGGUUAGGGGUAAGCAUUGACUGGGAAAGGACCAAAGGGAAUUUUUCAGACCAAUAGAAAUGCUUUAUAACUUGACUGUGGUAAUGGUUACAUAGAUGAAUAUUAAGAUUUGUGGAGGAGUUCCUGUCGUGGUGCAGCAAAAAUUAAUCCAACCCAUGAUGUUGCGAGUUCAAUCCCUGGCCUCGCUCAGUGGGUUAAGGAUCCGGCGUUGCAGUGAGCUGUGGGGUGGGUCACAGAUGCAGCUUGGAUCUGGCGUUGCUGUGGCUGUGGUGUAGGCUGACAGCUGUAGCUCCGAUUUGACCCCUAGCCUGGAAACUCCCAUAUGCUGCAGGUGCACCCCUAAAAAGCCAAAAAAAAAAAAAAAAGAUUCAUGGAAAUGCACGCUUAAAAUCGAGUGUGUUUUAGUGUGUGUAAAUUACAUCUCAGAAAAGUAAAUUUUAAAAAUUCUUGUCAUAUAUGUUCCAUGUCAAAAAAAAGUCUAGACAAAGAGUUUCUUUGUGGUGCAGCAGGUUAAGGAUCUGGUGUUGUCACUGUAGCGGCUCAUGUCACUGCUGUGGUGUAGGUUUGAUCCCUAGCCUGGGAACUUUCACAUGCUGCGAGCAUAGCCAAUAAGAAAAAAAAAGAAAAAAGAAAAAAAAAAGGGCAAGAGAUCUAAACAGACAUUUCUCCAAAGACAUACAGAUGGCCAAAAAGUACAUGAAAAGUUGCUCAACAUUGCUAAUUAUUAGAGAAAUACAAAUCAAAACUACACCUCGCACCAGUUAGAAUGGCUGUCAUCAAAAGUUUUACAAAUAGUAAAUGCUAGAGAGGAUGUGGAGAAAAAGAAACCCAGAGUUCCCGCUGUGUGCAGCAGAAACAAAUCUGACUAGUAAUAAUGAGGUUGCGGGUUUAUCUCUGGCCUCACUCGGUGGGUUAAGGAUCCAGCAUUGCCUUGAGCUAUGGUGUAGGGUGCAGAUGCGGCUUGGAUCCUAUGUUGCUGUGCCUAUGGUCUAGGCUAGCAGUGUAGUUCUGAUUUGACCCCUAGCCUGGGAACCCCCACAUACCAUGAAUGCAGCCCCAAAAAGUAGAAAAAAUAACAAAACCAAAAAAGAAACCCACCUACACUGCUGUGGCAAUGUAAAUUGGCACAACACUAUGGAGGAUAGUAUAUGGGUUCCCUAAAAAACCAAAAACAGAAGUGCAAUCCCACUCCUGAGCAUAUAUCCCGAGAAAACCAUAAUUCAAAAAGCUACAUAUAGAGUUACAGUUGUGGCUCAGGGGGUUAAGGACCCUAUAUUGUCUCUGGGAGGAUGUGGGUUUGAUCCCUGGCCUCAUUCAGUGAGUUAAGGACCCAGCACUGCCAUGAUUGUGGCGUAGGCUGCAGGUGCAGUUCCAGUUCAACCCCCAGCCCAGGACUUCCAUAUAACUCGGGUGUGGCCAUAAAAAGAGAAAACAAAACAAAAAAGAAUAAAGAAAAGAAAAGAUAUACUCCAAUGUUCAUAGCAGCACUAUUUACAACAGCCAAGACAUGGAGGCACUCUAAAUGUCCACUGACAGCUGAAUGGAUAAAGGAGAUGUGGUUCAUAUAUACAAUGGAAUAUUAUUCAGCCAUAAGAAAGAGUGAAAUAACGCCAUUUGUAGCAACAUGAAUGGAUUUAAAGAUCAUCAUACUAAGUGAAAUAAGUCAGAGAAAGAUAAAUAUCAUAUGAUAUUGUUUAUAUAUGGAAUCUAAAAAAAAAGACAAAUUGAUUUAUUUCUAAAACAGGGAAACUCAACAGGCAUAGGAAAACAAACUCAUGGUUACCAAAAGGGUAAGGGGGUGUGAGGGAGGGAUAAAUUAGGAGGUUGAGAUUAACAUAUACACACUACUAUAUGUAAAAUAAAUAACCAACAAAGACUUACACAUAGGUAAACAGGGAACAUACUCAAUAUUUUGUAAAAACCUAUAAGAGAAGAGGAUCUGAAGAAUAUACAUAACUGAAUCACUGUUAUCACCUGAAACAAACAUGACAUUGUAAAUCAAUUACGCUUCGGCUUAAAGUUAAAUUAUAUAAAAAAUAAAGUAAAUUUUUUAAUUUAAAAAGAUCUAGACAAGCAAAGAAAAUAACUAAGCCAUCUUUAGUCAAACAUACACACACAAAUUGUAUUUUAUUCCUAUAUGUCUCAUUAAAUAACUUAAAAGACAUCAUUUAAGAUAACAUAAAAAUGUAUAGCACUAAUCCCAAAACAGGUAUGCGAUACUGUUAGCUAACAAGAUAAAUAUAAAAGCUUAUUGAGGCAUUCCCGUCGUGGCUCAGUGGUUAACGAAUCUGACUAGGAACCAUGAGGUUGUGGGUUUGAUCCCUGGCCUUGCUCAGUGGGUUAAGGAUCCAGUGUUGCCGUGAGCUGUGGUGUAGGUUGCAGACACGGGAUCCCGCGUUGCUGUGGCUCUGGUGUAGACCGGCAGCUACAGCUCCAACUGGACCCCUAGCCUGGGAACUGCCAUAUGCUGCGGGAGUGGCCCUGGAAAAGGCAAAAAGACAAAAUAAAUAAAUAAGUAAAUAAAAUAAAGUAAAAUAAAAGCUUAUUGAGAGAAAAGUAUGAUCUAAAUAAACAGAGUUACUAUGCUCCUGGAGUAGAAGUUCUAUUUUAAAGAUUUUAAUUCUCUCCAAAUGGAUUUAUGUAUUUAAAGUCAUCUCAAUCAUUCUCAACAGAAUAUUUGCUUUGUUUUGUAAUACUUGAUUAGCUAAAGAAAAGGGCCAAGAAAAGCUGAGACACUCUUGAAGAUGAAUAUCAUUUUGGGGAGUUCCUGCCAUGGUGCAACAGGACUGGGGGUGUCUCUGCAGUGCCAGGAUGCAGGUUCAAUCCCUGGCAGGCACAGUGCAUUAAGGACCCAAGGAUCCAACGUUGCCACAGCUGCAGCAUAAGUUGCAACUGUGGCUUGGAUGAGAUCCCUGGCCUGGAAACUCCAUGUGCUGCAGGGCAGCCAAAAUUUUUUUUAAAAAUCAUUUUGGAGGAUUUGUUCUACCAGCUACUAAGACUUUUUUUAAAUACUGCAUUAACUAUAACUGUGACAUUGCCCCAGUAAUAGGCAAAUAAACUGAUAGAAUAGAGAGCUUAUUGGAGCACAUCUGUAUACCAAUACUCAGUUUAGGAGAAGAGAAGCACUGUAGAUCAGUUGGGAAAGGACUGUCUUUUCACUAUGUUGUCCUGGCACAAUUGAAAAAAAGAAAUGUUUACCUUAUACAAAAAAAUUAAUUAUGGAUAGAUUAAAGAGCUAGCUGUGAAUGGCAAAAACCCUGAAGCUUUUAGGAGACAACUGUAACAGGUUGCAUAGUGGGCCCCCGCAAAAGAUAUAUUCAUCUGGAACCCCGGAAUGUAAACUUAUUUUGAAAAAGAGCCUUUGUAGAUAUUUUGAAAAUAUGAAUUUCAAGAUGAGAUUAUCCUGGAUUAGGGUAGGCCCUAAAUUCAAUGAUGAAUGUCUUUAUAACAGAAAGACACACAGGAGAAACACGAGGGAGAAGGCCAUGUGAAUAGACAGAGACUGGAAUCAGGCAGCUACAAGCCAAACACCAAGAGGUGCUGGCGAAUAGCAGAACUCUCACUAGGAGAGAGGCAUGGAACAGGUUCUUUCUUCGGAGCCUCCGGAAGGAACCAACACUACAGAUACCUUGAUUUCAGAUUUCUGGCCUCCAGACCUGCACUGAAACGAAUCUCUGUUUUAAGCCAUCAGGUUUGUGGCAAUUGAUUACAGAGCUCUAGGAACUAGUAAAAGAGCAAAGGAGAAUAUCUUCAUGAGCUCAGGUAUAAUUCAAUACAAAAAUGCACUAACCAUAAAGGAAAAGACUACCUCAAAUUAAAAGCACUAUGACCCACCCCACCCCCGCAAAAAAAAAAAAAAAAAAAAAA